UCUAAUUUUGUAACUUAAAUAUGUCUCUCUUUUUAUUUCUUAAUA
rnacentral:sRNA from 1 species